AGGCCGGCUCCUUAACCCACUGAGCCACCAGGGAACUCCAGCGCACCUGUUUUAAGCAGACUGAUGGGAGGAUUCUGAGGAGGUGACAUCCUGCAAGGUGUGCAUUAGGUGAGGGACUGGGCACUGCUCCCCAUUCAAGGGCCUGGCAGCCUGGUUCCAGAGGGUAGUGAGAACCUCACUGGGGAAGAGUGAGGUUGACCCAGAGAAGGCAGCUCCUCAGAGCACCUGCAUAUUUGAGGGCAGAGCCAGCCCAGGCAUGUCUCCCCAUUCCCUGUGCCAUGCAGACACUGGCUCACAAAGCAGAGGGGCCACAGCCGGGUGCCUAGGAUCCCUGAAGUCAGGGGAGCCCAGAGCCCUUUUCCUCCCAACCCCCAGUUCCUCCUAGAAGACUGGCUCACAACCAUGGCAACAGAUUCCAUGUGAAGGAGGUGAAGGCAGAUUUUUGGGGCUCACUCAGCGGGAGAUGAGUGCUGGAAGAGAAGGCUGCUCUCCCCCAGUGCUAGGUGGUGACCCAGAAAAUUCUUCAGAAUCCUGUGGUUUCUCCCCAAGCCUGUGAAGAGAGUGGCAGCUGGUAGCCAGGUGGCCAAGCACCCACGCACGGCUGUGGCCUUACUCCACGCUGGCCUUGGGUUUGUGUAUGUGUGUGUGUGUGUGUGUGUGUGUGUGUGGCUGGAGUUGGCUAUAAUUGGGGAGAGUCAGAAUCUACCUCCCCCACAUACAUACACAGUCUCUCUCUCUCUCUCUCUCUCAUACACACACACAUACACACACACACACACACACACACACACACACUCCUGGAAGCACAAGGGUCCAUGAACUCAUGCAAAAGCAACGCUGAACUGAGAGCACUGGCACCUGCCAUGGGCAGCCCUCUCCUGACCUUGCCUGCUUUCUAUGGUAUCCACCUUCAAGGACAGACGCCAUGAGAGUCAGGGAAUGUUAUGGACUGAGUUGUGUCCAUCCAUGUCCAUACUUGUGACUUUAUUUGGAGACGGGGCAUAUGGGAAGGUAAAUGGAGGUUAAAUGAGGUCAUAGAUAUGACACGCUAAUCCUACAGGACUGUCUUUAAGAAGAGGAAGAGAUAGCAGAGAUUUCUCUCUCCCUGCCAGCACACGGAGGAGAAGUCACCUGAAGACACUGGGAGAAGGUGGCCAUCAACAAGCCAGGAAGAGCCCUGGCCAGGACUCGAUUUGCCAGCACCUUGAUCUUGGAUGUCUAGUCUCAGGAACUGUGAGAAAAUAAAUGUCUGUUGUUCAAGUCA
rnacentral:lncRNA from 1 species